CCUACGGGGGGCAGCAGUGGGGAAUAUUGGACAAUGGGCGAAAGCCUGAUCCAGCCAUGCCGCGUGUGUGAAGAAGGCCUUCGGGUUGUAAAGCACUUUCAGUGGGGAAGAAAGCCUUGGGGCUAAUACCCUCGAGGAAGGACAUCACCCACAGAAGAAGCACCGGCUAACUCCGUGCCAGCAGCCGCGGUAAUACGGAGGGUGCGAGCGUUAAUCGGAAUUACUGGGCGUAAAGCGCGCGUAGGCGGUCUGAUAAGCCGGUUGUGAAAGCCCCGGGCUCAACCUGGGAACGGCAUCCGGAACUGUCAGGCUAGAGUGCAGGAGAGGAAGGUAGAAUUCCCGGUGUAGCGGUGAAAUGCGUAGAGAUCGGGAGGAAUACCAGUGGCGAAGGCGGCCUUCUGGACUGACACUGACGCUGAGGUGCGAAAGCGUGGGUAGCAAACAGGAUUAAUACCCUUGUAGUC
rnacentral:rRNA from 1 species